AGCAUCGUUUGUGAAGACCCGAAGAUGAGCUUAAGAAUGAGUAGCAAAUUUAGGGCAGCCCUGAGGAAGAACUUAAUGCCAGUGAAUGAAUGCUCUCAGGAUCUAGGAAAGGCCUUGUGAGUACACAGUGAGGAGACAGCCAUCUGAAACCCAAAGAGAGCUUUCACCCUGCCUGGACCCUGCCAGCAACUUGACCUCUUGGACUUCUAGUCUCCAGAACUGUGAGAAAUAAAUUUCAAUUGUUCAAGCCAA